rnacentral:rRNA from 1 species
UGCCUAACACAUGCAAGUCGAGCGAGAAAAGGAGCUUCGGCUCCUGAGUACAGCGGCGAACGGGUGCGUAACACGUGGGUGAUCUGUCCUUGAGAUGGGGAUAACCCAGCGAAAGUUGGGCUAAUACCGGAUAAGACCACAGGAGGAAACUCCAGGGGUCAAAGGGUGCUCUCUUCGGGGAGCAUUCGCUUGAGGAGGAGCCCGCGGCCUAUCAGCUUGUUGGUAGGGUAACGGCCUACCAAGGCAAAGACGGGUAGCUGGUCUGAGAGGAUGACCAGCCACACUCGUUAGUUGGCACGGCCCCGACUCCUACGGGAGGCAGCAGUGGGGAAUAUUGGGCAAUGGGGGAAACCCUGACCCAGCCCGCCGCGUGGGUGAUGAAGGCCUUCGGGUCGUAAAGGAC